AAUAAGUGCAGCCAUGAGUUUUCAUAUCCAACUUUAAUCGUCCGUUUUAUUUAAAAUUUUUUUAUAGCAUUUUUGUUGUUAUAAGAUGAUAAAACAUGGAUAGUACUUUACUCGUGACUUAUGUCUUUAAUUUUUUUAAAAAAAAUUUCAAAUAAGACGAAUGGUCAAAGUUGAGCGCUGAAAACCAUAGCUGCACUUAUU
rnacentral:pre_miRNA from 1 species